rnacentral:lncRNA from 1 species
ACCAGGCCGAAAGUAUAUUCGUUUCAUUAUAACAGGCGUGUUCAGCUCCAUGUGGUUCUGUAAUUCGAUUCCAAUGUACAGUAUUGAGAAGAAACUCCCGUCGUGUCUCCAAUAGCAUAUGCAUUUGGAAACCCAAACCCAAAAUAGGUUUCCAACACAAUACCUAUAGCCUCCAACAGAGUACCCAUACAGAAAACCCAUUUUGGAUAUCAGGGGAGGCAUAACCCAAAUUUGGGUAUCCUCUCUCCUCGAGACCCAUUUGCAGAGAGUGUUGUCUUUUAGGUCUUGUUGUUAGAGAAGAUUAAAAAUAGGUAUGGAACCUUUUACCUGUAGCGCUACCCAAAGGACAAAUGGGUCUUGUAUUUUAGGUGACGAUUGUUGGAGAUAGUCUUAGGACAGCUAUGAUUAGCUAACGAUCGUCCCCCAUCACCGUUGCCGACACUCGGGUAAUCGUUAGAAACAAAUCUCCUAAAAAUUGGCCAAACGCUUGAUUAAAGAAAAAAAAUAUCCAUAGAAAAGUCUAGUUCUUUUCUCUUGUACGGUAUAUAUAUGGAUUAAAAAAAGAGAAAAAAUAUAUAAUAGAAAACAUGUACUCGAUACAUGCGAAACAUAUAAAAGAAGAUGUCAUCUAAUGUAGUGUCAUAUAAAACAAGGCCUUUAUAGUGUUGUUAACAAUAUACAGAAACAAAGGAUGAACCUGUUACUCAUCACCAAAUAAAACACUAGAUCUCAUUUCUUACAAUCAAGCACAAUCUAAGGCCUUGUUUACUUCCAAAAAAUUUUACAAAAUGGACAUUGCAGUAUUUUCGUUUGUAUUUGAUAAAUAUUGUCUAAUUACGAACUAACUAGGCUCAAAAGAUUCGUCUUGAAAAUUACAGGUAAGUUGUAUAAUUAAUUAUUUUCUUUAUCUAUAUUUAAUGCUCCAUGCAUGUACCACAAGAUUCGAUGUGACGGGGAACCUGAAAAAUUUUAUAAUUUUUUAAACUAAACAAGGCCUAAAAGCUAUCCCACCCUUACGUAGCAUCUGAGUUUUACCAUUGUACAUGCAUGCUCUUGGCCUUGUUUACUUCCACCCAAAAUCCAAAAACUUUUUAAAAUUUUUUGUCACAUCCAAUCUUUAGACGCAUGUAUGGAGUACUAAAUAUAAACGAAAAUAAAAACUAAUUGCACAGUUGGUCAAAAUUUAUGAGACGAAUCUUUUGAGCCUAGUUAGUCUAUAAUUGGACAACAAUUAUCACAAACUAACGAAAGUGUUAGGGUGUCCCGAAAACAUUUCGGGAAAGAACUAAUAGUAAUAGGCUAUGGGUGGGCCUAUAGCUAGAGACUCGACUAGGCAGCAGGCGGCCUUGUUUACUUCCACUUAAAAACCUAAUUUUUUUAAGAUUCUUCGUCACAUUAAUUUUUUAGACGUAUGCAUAAAAUUUUUUUAAGAUUCGCUCGGGUAAUCGUUAUAAACAAAUCUCCUAAAAAUUGGCCAAACCCCUGAUCAAGGAAAAAAAUAUCCAUCCAUGAAAGAAAAGUCUAGUUCUUUUUUUUUGUGACUGUCUAGUUCUUUUCUCUUGUACGGUAUAUAUGGAUUAAAAAAAGAAAAAAUAUAUAUAAUAGAAAACAUGUACUCCAUACGUGCGAAACAUACGAA